rnacentral:rRNA from 1 species
UACGUAGGGGGCAAGCGUUGUCCGGAUUUAUUGGGCGUAAAGAGCGUGUAGGCGGCCACACAGGUCCGCUGUGAAAACUCGAGGCUCAACCUCGAGCUGUCGGUGGAAACCGUGUGGCUAGAGUCCGGAAGAGGAGAGUGGAAUUCCCGGUGUAGCAGUGAAAUGCGUAGAGAUCGGGAGGAACAUCUGUGGCGAAGGCGACUGCCUGGACCAGCACUGACACUGAGGCACGAAAGCGUGGGGAGCAAACAGG